rnacentral:rRNA from 1 species
UAGAGUUUGAUCCUGGCUCAGAUUGAACGCUGGCGGCAGGCUUAACACAUGCAAGUCGAGCGGAAACGAUGAUAGCUUGCUAUCAGGCGUCGAGCGGCGGACGGGUGAGUAAUACUUAGGAAUCUACCUAGUAGUGGGGGAUAGCACGGGGAAACUCGUAUUAAUACCGCAUACGACCUACGGGAGAAAGGGGGCAGUUUACUGCUCUCGCUAUUAGAUGAGCCUAAGUCGGAUUAGCUAGAUGGUGGGGUAAAGGCCUACCAUGGCGACGAUCUGUAGCUGGUCUGAGAGGAUGAUCAGCCACACCGGGACUGAGACACGGCCCGGACUCCUACGGGAGGCAGCAGUGGGGAAUAUUGGACAAUGGGGGAAACCCUGAUCCAGCCAUGCCGCGUGUGUGAAGAAGGCCUUUUGGUUGUAAAGCACUUUAAGCAGUGAAGAAGACUCCGUGGUUAAUACCCACGGACGAUGACAUUAGCUGCAGAAUAAGCACCGGCUAACUCUGUGCCAGCAGCCGCGGUAAUACAGAGGGUGCAAGCGUUAAUCGGAAUUACUGGGCGUAAAGGGAGCGUAGGUGGCUCUAUAAGUCAGAUGUGAAAUCCCCGGGCUCAACCUGGGAACUGCAUCUGAAACUGUAGAGCUAGAGUAUGUGAGAGGAAGGUAGAAUUCCAGGUGUAGCGGUGAAAUGCGUAGAGAUCUGGAGGAAUACCGAUGGCGAAGGCAGCCUUCUGGCAUAAUACUGACACUGAGGCUCGAAAGCGUGGGUAGCAAACAGGAUUAGAUACCCUGGUAGUCCACGCCGUAAACGAUGUCUACUAGUCGUUGGGUCCCUUGAGGACUUAGUGACGCAGCUAACGCAAUAAGUAGACCGCCUGGGGAGUACGGCCGCAAGGUUAAAACUCAAAUGAAUUGACGGGGGCCCGCACAAGCGGUGGAGCAUGUGGUUUAAUUCGAUGCAACGCGAAGAACCUUACCUGGUCUUGACAUAUCUAGAAUCCUGCAGAGAUGCGGGAGUGCCUUCGGGAAUUAGAAUACAGGUGCUGCAUGGCUGUCGUCAGCUCGUGUCGUGAGAUGUUGGGUUAAGUCCCGCAACGAGCGCAACCCUUGUCCUUAGUUACCAGCGGGUUAAGCCGGGAACUCUAAGGAUACUGCCAGUGACAAACUGGAGGAAGGCGGGGACGACGUCAAGUCAUCAUGGCCCUUACGACCAGGGCUACACACGUGCUACAAUGGUAGGUACAGAGGGCAGCUACACAGCGAUGUGAUGCGAAUCUCAAAAAGCCUAUCGUAGUCCAGAUUGGAGUCUGCAACUCGACUCCAUGAAGUAGGAAUCGCUAGUAAUCGCGGAUCAGAAUGCCGCGGUGAAUACGUUCCCGGGCCUUGUACACACCGCCCGUCACACCAUGGGAGUUGAUUGCACCAGAAGUGGAUAGCUUAACCUUCGGGGAGGCGUUCACCACGGUGUGGUUGAUGACUGGGGUGAAGUCGUAACAAGGUAGCCGUAGGGGAACC